rnacentral:rRNA from 1 species
GACGAACGCUGGCGGCGUGCUUAACACAUGCAAGUCGAACGGAAAGGCCCUGCUUUUGUGGGGUGCUCGAGUGGCGAACGGGUGAGUAACACGUGAGUAACCUGCCCUUGACUUUGGGAUAACUUCAGGAAACUGGGGCUAAUACCGGAUAGGAGCUCCUGCUGCAUGGUGGGGGUUGGAAAGUUUCGGCGGUUGGGGAUGGACUGGCGGCUUAUCAGCUUGUUGGUGGGGUAGUGGCUUACCAAGGCUUUGACGGGUAGCCGGCCUGAGAGGGUGACCGGCCACAUUGGGACUGAGAGACGGCCCAGACUCCUACGGGAGGCAGCAGUGGGGAAUAUGGCACAAUGGGCGGAGGCCUGAUGCAGCAACGCCGCGUGCGGGAUGACGGCCUUCGGGUUGUAAACCGCUUUCGCCUGUGACGAAGCGUGAGUGACGGUAAUGGGUAAAGAAGCACCGGCUAACUACGUG